GCCGCUCGGAACUUUGCACACCUCUCCGUGGUGAGCAGUAGGCAACGCUGAAAUAGCGGCUAAGUGUGAGA
rnacentral:ribozyme from 1 species